AUUGAACGCUGGCGGCAUGCCUUACACAUGCAAGUCGAACGGCAGCACGGGAGCAAUCCUGGUGGCGAGUGGCGAACGGGUGAGUAAUGUAUCGGAACGUGCCCAGUCGUGGGGGAUAACGUAGCGAAAGCUACGCUAAUACCGCAUACGAUCUGUGGAUGAAAGCGGGGGACCGUAAGGCCUCGCGCGAUUGGAGCGGACGAUAUCAGAUUAGGUAGUUGGUGGGGUAAAGGGCUACCAAGCCGACGAUCUGUAGCUGGUCGAAGAGGACGUACAGCGAGACUGGGACUGAGUCGCGGCAGAGACUUCUCCGGGAGGAGGACGUGGGGAAUUGUGGACAAUGGGGGCAAGCCUGAUCCAGCAAUGCCGCGUGCAGGAUGUAGGUCUUAGGGUUGUAAACUGCUUUUGUAAGGAGCGAAAAGGCUCUCUCUAAUACAGGGGGCUCAUGACGGUACCGUAAGAAUAAGCACCGGCUAACUACGUGCCAGCCGCCGCUGUAAUAC
rnacentral:rRNA from 1 species